UGGGGAAUAUUGCGCAAUGGGCGAAAGCCUGACGCAGCGACGCCGCGUGAGGGAUGAAGGUUUUCGGAUCGUAAACCUCUGUCAGAAGGGAAGAAGUUGCAUGGGGCCAAUCACCUGUGCAUUGACGGUACCUUCAAAGGAAGCACCGGCUAACUCCGUGCCAGCAGCCGCGGUAAUACGGAGGGUGCGAGCGUUAAUCGGAAUUACUGGGCGUAAAGCGCACGUAGGCUGUAUGUCAAGUCAAGGGUGAAAUCCCACGGCUCAACCGUGGAACUGCCUUUGAAACUGGCAAACUGGAGUAUGUGAGAGGGCGGCGGAAUUCCUGGUGUAGGAGUGAAAUCCGUAGAUAUCAGGAGGAACAUCAGUGGCGAAGGCGGCCGCCUGGCACAAAACUGACGCUGAGGUGCGAAAGCGUGGGUAGCAAACA
rnacentral:rRNA from 1 species